rnacentral:rRNA from 1 species
AGAGUUUGAUCCUGGCUCAGAUUGAACGCUGGCGGAAUGCUUUACACAUGCAAGUCGAACGGCAGCACGGGGGCAACCCUGGUGGCGAGUGGCGAACGGGUGAGUAAUACAUCGGAACGUGCCCUUUAGUGGGGGAUAGCUCGGCGAAAGCCGGAUUAAUACCGCAUACGACCCAUGGGUGAAAGCGGGGGACCGAAAGGCCUCGCGCUAAUGGAGCGGCCGAUGCCCGAUUAGCUAGUUGGUGAGGUAAAGGCUCACCAAGGCGACGACGGGUAGCCGGCCUGAGAGGGCGACCGGCCACACUGGGACUGAGACACGGCCCAGACUCCUACGGGAGGCAGCAGUAGGGAAUAUUGGGCAAUGGGCGCAAGCCUGACCCAGCGACGCCGCGUGAGGGAUGAAGGUCUUCGGAUUGUAAACCUCUUUCAGUAGGGAAGAAGCGAAAGUGACGGUACCUAAAGAAGAAGCACCGGCUAACUAUGUGCCAGCAGCCGCGGUAAUACAUAGGGUGCAAGCGUUGUCCGGAAUUAUUGGGCGUAAAGAGCUCGUAGGUCGUUUGUCGCGUCGAUUGUGAAAAUCUGAGGCUCAACCUCAGACCUGCAGUCGAUACGGGCAAACUAGAGUGUGGUAGGGGAGACUGGAAUUCCUGGUGUAGCGGUGGAAUGCGCAGAUAUCAGGAGGAACACCAAUGGCGAAGGCAGGUCUCUGGGCCAUAACUGACACUGAGGAGCGAAAGUGCGGGGAGCGAACAGGAUUAGAUACCCUGGUAGUCCGCACCGUAAACGGUGGGCACUAGUUGUGGGAACCUUCCACGGUUUCCGCGACGCAGCAAACGCAUUAAGUGCCCCGCCUGGGGAGUACGAUCGCAAGAUUAAAACUCAAAGGAAUUGACGG